GAUGAACGCUGGCGGCGUGCCUAAUACAUGCAAGUCGAGCGGAUGGAUUAAGAGCUUGCUCUUAUGAAGUUAGCGGCGGACGGGUGAGUAACACGUGGGUAACCUGCCCAUAAGACUGGGAUAACUCCGGGAAACCGGGGCUAAUACCGGAUAAUAUUUUGAACUGCAUGGUUCAAAAUUGAAAGGCGGCUUCGGCUGUCACUUAUGGAUGGACCCGCGCCGCAUUAGCUAGUUGGUGAGGUAACGGCUCACCAAGGCAACGAUGCGUAGCCGACCUGAGAGGGUGAUCGGCCACACUGGGACCGAGACACGGCCCAGACUCCUACGGGAGGCAGCAGUAGGGAAUCUUCCGCAAUGGACGAAAGUCUGACGGAGCAACGCCGCGUGAGUGAUGAAGGCUUUCGGGUCGUAAAACUCUGUUGUUAGGGAAGAACAAGUGCUAGUUGAAUAAGCUGGCACCUUGACGGUACCUAACCAGAAAGCCACGGCUAACUACGUGCCAGCAGCCGCGGUAA
rnacentral:rRNA from 1 species